rnacentral:rRNA from 1 species
CCAAGGAGUUUAGCGUGUGCGCGAGUCAUUGGGUGUAAAAACCUAAAGGCGAAAUGAAAGUGAAGGAAACUCCGCUUUCCGAGGGAGGAUGGGUUAGGUCCCUCUCCAGGGCCGGCCUCGCACUCCCGGGGCGUCUCCAUCUCAUCGCGAGAGGAGGCGCACCUAGAGCGUACACGCUGAUACCCGAAAGAUGGUGAACUAUGCCUGGCCAGGACGAAGCCAGGGGAAACCCUGGUGGAGGUCCGCAGCGAUUCUGACGUGCAAAUCGAUCGUCGGAGCUGGGUUUAGGGGCGAAAGACCAAUCGAACCAUCUAGUAGCUGGUUCCCUCUGAAGUUUCCCUCAGGAUAGCUUGCGCUCGGAUGAAACGAGUCUCAUCCGGUAGAGCGAAUGAUUAGAGGCCUUGGGGUCGAAACGACCUCAACCUAUUCUCAAACUCCAAAUAGAUGAGAACCCCGGCUUUCUUGAACCCUGUUUAUGAAGCCGGGGGCUCGGAUCAGAGUGCCAAGUGGGCCAAUUUU